CAAUAAAACAAGUGAGGAUAAAUAACAAACUUAACAUAAUUAAGGAUUUAUGGCAAGAUGGUAGUGAAAUGUAGUUUAAAGAUUAGAUUUGUAAUUAGCAACUAAGUGAAGGGGGUAAAGUGCAAAGUGAUUAAACUUAAAUUAGUAAAAAAAAAAAAAAAACAAACAAACUAAACCCCAAACACAGUGAGUGUGUCUGGGGGAACGAUCGAACAAGGAAGGAGGAGGGGGAAACCCUAAACUCAAGAAAUCAAGUAAUUGAAGCCUAAAAUCAUAAGAAAAUCCAGUGCAUGAGCCAUCUUAUCGAUCAUCUAAGCAUACCUAGUGAAGUGCUUGAAAGAAUAAGAACCAUGUCAAGAUGGACCAACUCAUGGGAAGCAAACGGGUCAAAGAGGAGGCAAAGAAACUAGCAUAAACAUGAUGAGCACAAGGUUAUGAAUGUCGGACUUUCAAAGUGUUGAUAUAAUAAUGAAACGGUUGAAUCUUGAAAGGAUAAUCGGAUUGAAGUAACUUAUGCGGGUAAGCGCAAUUGUUGGAAGAGAUGAUCCGUGAAUGCGGUCUAGGACCGGCAUCGAGGCAAGUAAUGAAACAAAUUGACCCCAGGUACGUAAACCUAACGUAUGGGCGUAUGAAAUGGUAUGGUUAAGCAAGUGAAAGAAAAAUUUUGAACAAAUUAUGAUAACGACAUGGUAAAUAACUUUUGAAAAUGUUACACGAGCCGAAACUGAAUUCUUCGGACAUAAGGUGGCAAUUACGCGAAGACACGAAACUAGUACGUGGAAUGUGUACCUGGCCAAUACACAAGAAACGUAUGAAGUUCGUGAGACCGUGAUAAUUAUUACAGGUAUGUCCGAUAGAGUUUGGUAGCAGCUAGGCGUGUGGGUGAAAUGGGUAGUAAGACUCUCGGGGGAUUGAGAGUACCUUCAAGGAAUGAAGUAUGCGAAUGCAAUGCUUGAAUCCGCGAGACGGAUUCAAGGAAUGAAGUAUGCGAAUGCAAUGCUUGAAUCCGCGAGACGGAUUCAAGGAAUGAAGUAUGCGAAUGCAAUGCUUGAAUCCGCGAGACGGAUUCAAGGAAUGAAGUAUGCGAAUGCAAUGCUUGAAUCCGCGAGACGGAUUCAAGGAAUGAAGUAUACGAAUGCAAUGCUUGAAUCCGCGAGACGGAUUCAAGGAAUGAAAUAUGCGAAUGAAAUGAUUGAAUCCACAAGACGAAUUCAAGGAAUGAAAUAUACGAAUGCAAUGCUUGAAUCCGCGAGACGGAUUCAAGGAAUGAAAUAUGCGAAUGAAAUGAUUGAAUCCACAAGACGAAUUCAAGGAAUGAAAGAGGUGAAUGCAAUAUUUGAAUUCAUGAGACAGAUUCAAAACGUGAAAGGUACGAAAGGUAUGAGUAAGGUGUUCGAAUCCGUGAAAUGGACUUAAGGUAUAAACGACUAAGGCUAGUCUACUUGAGAAGAAGCCAAUAGUCUGACCAUAAUUAUGUCAUACAAGUCAUAUAAGUAAACAUAAAGCAAAUGAACAAAAGUAUGAUAGGAGUGAAAAUAUCCGAAGGUGUAAGGAAUUACGAACCAGACAAGUAAAUGUUUCUUAAGUGAUAUGAUUCAAACUAUGCUUAAAUUUUCAUAUAUAUAUUUAUAUAUAUAUGAAUGUAUUUAUGUGAAUGCGUUGCAUGCGAGAGGGUCGAAAGGAUAAACGGGUCAUGCGGGUCAGAUGGCGAUUGCCAUUGGGCUCGUUAGUUAAUGUUUUGAUAUUUUAAGUUUUGUACUCGUAGGUGAGCUUGAUGAAUGGACACGCAAUGUCACUAAUCGGAAAGGAAUGAUCUACGUAAGGUAUGGAUAACAAAUCAACGGAAUCUACUUCCGUCAGCUUGAAAGAAUAAGAACCAUGUCAAGAUGGACCAACUCAUGGGAAGCAAACGGGUCAAAGAGGAGGCAAAGAAACUAGCAUAAACAUGAUGAGCACAAGGUAAGUGAUUUCUAUAAUCACUUCUUUAGUUGUUUAAGUAAUAUAAUGUUUUAAUUAUUAAGUUCAUAUGAAGUUGAGGUCAAAUCAAUAGAUUAUUUUGAUAAAUGCACGAAUGGGUCGAAUAAUUUAUAGAUAAAUAACAAGCCGAAUACGUAUAAGUUAAGAAAUUCCUUAACUCGGAUGUUGGACUUCAAGGUCACAUGAUAGAAUAUUAAAUUACAAUCAUAUAGGAAGAAACGUGACGCAAAACGGAUGAAAAAUGAGAGAGUUAUGUCCGUUUCGGUAAGGAUUAAUGGCUAGGAAAAGUGCAGAGUUGACACGGCCGGGUGGUGAACUGACACGGUCGGGUGAAGGUUCUGUCAAAAAUAUUAUUUAUGUGAUUUAUGCGCCGUAGGUUGCGGUAUAUUAUCCGUGAAUUACGACGGGCCUCCCAAACAUGAUUUCGAGUGUUUCCUUGACGAUUAUAAGUUGUAAACCCAAGUCUAAGCCUCAUGUAAUUUAUAUAAGAGUGUGUUAGAUGUAUGUAAUGAGGUUGGACAUGUAUUACAUGUAAAUGUAUACAAAAAUACGUACGGAACACGUAGGUAUGAAUACAUGAUUGUAGGUAUGAUUAAAUGUAUUUUAGGUAUGUAGAUGUGUAUGAUUGUAAGAUUGUAUGUGUGCAAGUAUGUGCGAAUGCAUGAUUUGGAUGCACUUGAGAAUUAGCGUUACUAAUAAUGCCCUUGGGUUUGGAAUAUAAGUUAAUUGGAUGCAUUUAAAUGGUUGACGUCCUUUUUAUGAAGAUGUAGUAAAUGAAUAUGUUGAGAUUACGGGUUUGGCUAACCAAGUUAUUAUUGAGUAUGUUUGAAAGUGCAGGUUAUGAAUGUCGGACUUUCAAAGUGUUGAUAUAAUAAUGAAACAGUUGAAUCUUGAAAGGAUAAUCGGAUUGAAGUAACUUAUGCGGUUAGAAUAUGCUGUGGACGUUUUAGUUUAUACAACAUUUUAUGUUUGGUCGUCAUCAUCUACCAACGGGUAAAUCCUCAAUUCAGGCGACUUGGAGAAUCGGAGCGAGCGCGUGUUCAUGUUAUGUCAUACCAAACGCUUCCGCUAGCUUGUUCAAAUGUUUUUAGUCCAAAAUUUGUUGUAUUGGUUCUUAGUAGUAUUUUGUCGAAUGAAUCGUAGAAUUGUAUCUAGUUUGAUUAUGUUUAAAACAGGGGAAUGCUCGUUUUAUGGACGGGUCAUGCCCAAUUUUUGUUAAAUUAAUGCACCUGCGUUAUUGAUAUUAUCAUUUAA